CAAUAGCGUAUAUUAAAGUUGUUGCAGUUAAAAAGCUCGUAGUUGGAUUUGUGGCGUACGGUGUGUUCCGGGCACUUGUUGUCUGAGUAACCUGCUGUUGCCAUCCUUGGGUGGAACCUGUGUGGCAUUAGGUUGUCGUGCAGGGGAUGCCCAUCAUUUACUGUGAAAAAAUUAGAGUGUUCAAAGCAGGCUUAUGCCGUUGAAUAUAUUAGCAUGGAAUAAUGAGAUAGGACUUUUUUGCUAUUUUGUUGGUUUGCGCAAAGAGGUAAUGAUUAAUAGGGACAGUUGGGGGUAUUCGUAUUCCAUUGUCAGAGGUGAAAUUCUUGGAUGUUUGGAAGACGAACUACUGCGAAAGCAUUUACCAAGGAUGUUUUCAUUAA
rnacentral:rRNA from 1 species